GAUGAACGCUGGCGGCGUGCCUAAUACAUGCAAGUCGAGCGAACGGACGCGGAGCUUGCUUCUCUGACGUUAGCGGAGGACGGGUGAGUCACACGUGGAUCCCCUCCCUAUAAGUCUGGGAUAACUUCGGGAAACCGGCGCUAAUCCCGGAUAAUAUCAUGCACCGCAUGGUUCAAUAGUGAAAGACGGUCUUGCUGUCACUUAUCGAUGGUUCCGCGCUGCAUUAGCUAGUUGGUACGGUCACGGCUUACCAAGGCAACGAUGCAUAGCCGACCUGCGAGGGUGAUCGGCCACACUGGAACUGGGACACGGUCCAGACUCCUACGGGAGGCAGCAGUAGGGAAUCUUCCGCAAUGGGCGAAAGCCUGACGGAGCAACGCCGCGUGAGUGAUGAAGGUGUUCGGAUCGUAAAACUCUGUUAUGAGGUAAGAACAGAUGUGUAAGUACCUGUGCACAUCUUGACGGUACUGAAUCAGAAAGCCACGGCUAACUACGUG
rnacentral:rRNA from 1 species